AGUGCUCCUAUUAGAAGAGACAUCAGAGAGCUUGCUUGCCCUCUCUCUCUCUCUCCACCAUGUGAGAACACAGUGAAAAGGCAUCUGCAAGUCAGGAAGAAAGCUUUCACCAGAAACCAACCACAUGGGUACCCUCCAGCCUCCAGAACUGUGAGAAAACAAAUUUCUGCAGUUUAAGCCCCCCAGUCUAAGUUAUUUUGUUAUGGCAGCCCAAGAAGACUAAGAUCUGUAUCAUGAAACUGUUCAACUUCCAGAAGCAUAUUCAUGCAGAAAUCUAAGAAGCGUGAAAUAGCAAAGAGCACUCCAAUAACAGCAACUCUAACGCUGCUCUUGAAUCCCACUCCUGGGCACAAGACCAGGCUCUUUAGAAAGGCUGGUCGACUCUGGAAAUUGCAUAACAACCUGAAGUAAAAAGAUGCCCUUUGCUGAUUGUGCACUUAGCUCAGUAACAAGAUGGAUACCUGGAGAGUAUUUUCAUCAUUACUCCAACUAAAGCGUUCAGAGAGGAUGCUUCUAAAAUUUUACCUUCAAAAUUAGCAAUAGAAGGGUGACAUCAGCAAGAUGGUGAAACAGUAAGCCCCGGACUCUCCUCUUCCCAUGGAGAAGCCAGCUCAACAACAAUACAUGGACCAAUUACUUUUAUGAGAAAAUUCAGAAACCACUUGAGAGGCUCCCGCACCCAAGUGCUGAAGGCCAGAAGUCUGAAAUCAUUUUCACUGGCCCCAAAUCACCGUGUCAGCAGGACUGUGCUCCUCUCAGAGUCUCUAGAGGAGAAUCCCUUCCUUGCCUUUUCCAGCUCCUCGGGGCUUCCAGCUUUUCUUGGCCCAUGGCUGCAUCUCUCCAAUCUUCAAGUCACACCAAUGGAUGGAAAGGAAGACCACUGGAUAAAAGCAGCGAAGAAAACGGCAUCGCGAAUAGGAUUUAAGAUCAACAAAGCUGGGAAAUGAACAGAAAGAUAUGGAAAGCCUUCAUUGGUCUUCAUCACUGCUGCUAAGCUGACAGAUAAUUGAAUAACUUUUAGUCACUGUGCUGGGUUGGAAGGACACAAACAUAAAGAUUCCCUAUACUCUCCAAGAUUGCUUUCACGAUCAGACAGACCUACUACAUAGCAGUUACAGUGCAAUGUGAAGAAAUGCCUGCAAUCUGACAGGUCUUCUGCACAGUGGGGAUGCUUGGGGUCUCUGAUUGUUCUACUUGUAACUGGCUCAGGGAGGAAGUCUCAUGUCUGCUUUACACGGUGUCCACUGGAGUGACUUGACUGGGGGCUAGUGGAUCCAUUUCCAGGAUGUCUCACUCACAAGGCUCACAAGUUGCUUCUGAUUGUUUUUACGAGGCUCCACAGGGGUUGAGGUCCAGGGACUUUACUUUUCCAUAUGCACCUCUCUGUAAGCUACUUGAACAUUCUCACAAAAUGACGGCUGGGUUUCAUGAGCUAGUGUUCCAAAAAACAGGAAGUUGCUGCUAGUUCUUUUGGUUUUGUUGUUUUUAUUUUUGUUUUUUUUUAAAGUCCUGGGCCUGGAAACUGACACAGUCUCACUCUGCUGCAUUACAUUGAUCAGUUAGUUACAGAACUCAGAUUUGAGAGAAGACAUAGACCACUAUAUUGAGUGGGAGGAGUAUUAAAGAAUUUUGAGGAAUGUGGUAAAACUGUCAGUUUCAUCAAUGGAAAUAGUUUCAUGGUUUUUAUUU
ensembl:lncRNA